rnacentral:lncRNA from 1 species
GGGAAGAGGCAGUGUCCUUGACUAGGCCGGAAGGCACUGCGCUCUGGUCAGGGCUAUGGCGUGGACCGGGUCCUGGAGGAUAGGGCUCAGGGAGCGGGUUUGUGCGGGAGCUAGAGGGCUUGGGGACCCCGGUCCGCUGAGAGGCGGAGGAGGGGACCCGGGCUCCACUGUAGGCAGGCGGGACUCAGAGAGAAGGCAAAGGGCGUUGAGAGCCUGGUGUUCUGAUGACAUAGUCAGAAGUCGGAGUCGCCUUAGAGGUGCCUGUGACCACCGAAGUGGGGGCGUCAGCAGGGGAUGAGAAUGGAGCUGGGCUGUCAGAGCUUUCCUCGGGUUAAUUAAUCGUAGACCCCAAAGGGAUGGGGAAGCUCAGGUUCAGAGGGAGGGUUGUAGGUCGGCAGGGGGUGUGUCCUGCCUCCAUUUACAGCAUUGAUGAGAGGAAGUGGGCAGUGUUACUUUUCCCCAAUUCAGGUGCAAGAAAUCACAAUUGUGAUUUAGGCCUAGCCAAGGAUUGAUGGUCUGGACACCUUUGUGCCUGAAGGAGGAACCGGUGACAGACCUGGAGACUACAGUUCUCUGUCCUUCACACAGCUCUUUCACCAUGCCUGGGUCACUUCCUUUGAAUGC